GCUCAACACAUGCAAGUCGAGCGGUAACAUGACUAGUAGCAAUACUAGUUGAUGACGAGCGGCGGACGGGUGAGUAACACGUAGGAACUUGACCAGUAGUGGGGGACAACCAAGGGAAACUUUGGCUAAUACCGCGUAUUCUCGAGAGAGGAAAGCUGCCGCAAGGUGGCGCUAUUGGAGAGGCCUGCGUCCGAUUAGCAAGUUGGUAGGGUAAAAGCCUACCAAGGCGAGGAUCGGUAACUGGUCUGAGAGGACGACCAGUCACACUGGGACUGAGACACGGCCCAGACUCCUACGGGAGGCAGCAGUGGGGAAUCUUGGACAAUGGGGGCAACCCUGAUCCAGCGAUGCCGCGUGAGUGAAGAAGGCCUUCGGGUCGUAAAGCUCUUUAGGCUGGGAAGAAGAUUGGUAGUUUAAGAGAUAAUCAAUUUGACUGUACCAGCAGAAUAAGCACCGGCAAACUCUGUGCCAGCCGCCGCCGUAA
rnacentral:rRNA from 1 species